rnacentral:rRNA from 1 species
UACAGAGGGUGCAAGCGUUGUUCGGAUUCAUUGGGCGUAAAGGGUGCGUAGGCGGCGCGGUAAGUCGGGUGUGAAAUCUCGGGGCUUAACUCCGAAACUGCAUUCGAUACUGCCGUGCUUGAGGACUGGAGAGGAGACUGGAAUUUACGGUGUAGCGGUGAAAUGCGUAGAUAUCGUAAGGAAGACCAGUGGCGAAGGCGGGUCUCUGGACAGUUCCUGACGCUGAGGCACGAAGGUCAGGGGAGCAAACGGG